GUGUAUCUAAAAGUAAAAUACUUUAUUUUAUUUUUUUAAUUGUAAAUUGUAAAAUACUUUUUUAAAAAUUUAAGGUUGUCUUACUCUUUAAACUGCAAGAUUCAUGCAUCGUUCUUUUUCUAAUUAAACAGACCAACUAGUUAUAAGAAAAAUGGGAUAAGUGGCGGAGUGACUAAUUAUUAUUUAUCUCGUCUUUAACAAAAUCACCUACUUGAAUUUUUUUUUUUUUUGAAAAAGGCUUAUCCUACUUGAAUAUUUCUCAUCAAACAAUGUUUUUUUUUUCUCAACGUGUCCAUCAAAAUGCUAAAAAACUUUGAAAUAGUUAAAAAAACAGACAUUGCUUAAUCAGAUUUCCAAAUAAAAAACUUAAAUCCCUUCAACGGUUCAACCAAUGAGAUUGCACUACCUGUUUCUCAAAAAAAAAAAAAAAAUUGCACUACCAGUUAAGAAUGAAACUCUUAAGAGUUCGAAAUUGGCGAGUUAUACGAUAAAGUUGUAAAAUAUAUUCGGAAGUCUAAAUCCAUUUCGACGUAUUACUUUACGUAAACCUUAAUAUUUUACUUCUCAAAUACUCAGUUGAUAAGGUCCAUCAUAUUUAUUAUAAUUACCAUUCUGAACAAUAUUUUGUAGUUUAAAUAUCAUUAUCGUGAUAUGACAAAAUUAUUGAUAAAAAUACUUCAAAAUAAUUCUGUAAACUACAUUUAAAUUCACAUUAUAGUACUCCACGUGACUUAGGGACCAAUCAAAUAAACUAUUUUAGACUAUAAUUAUUGUAGUGCACUAAAAUCAUAAAAGUAUUAAAAAUAGAGAAAAGUGUUUGUUUUUCCGUG
rnacentral:lncRNA from 1 species